rnacentral:rRNA from 1 species
AGUCUGGUGCCAGCAGCCGCGGUAAUUCCAGCUCCACUAGUGUAAAUCGUCAUUGCUGCGGUUAAAAAGCUCGUAGUUGGAUCUGAGUCGCGUACGUUGGUUCGCCUUUGGCGUUAAUCUUCGUUGCGACUAUUUUGCUGGUUUUCUGUGGGUAACUUCGGUUCCCGCAGUGGCUAGCGAGUUUACUUUGAAUAAAUUAGAGUGCUCAAAACAAGCGAUUGCUUGAAUGCUCGAUCAUGGAAUAAUAAAAGAGGACUUCGGUUCUAUUUAUUGGUUCAAGAACUGAAUUAAUGGUUAAGAGGGACAAUUCGGGGGCAUUCGUAUCCCUGCGUGAGAGGUGAAAUUCGUGGACCGCAGGGGGACGCCCAAUAGCGAAAGCAUUUGCCAAGAAUGUCUUCAUUAAUCAAGAACGAAAGUCAGAGGUUCGAAGGCGAUUAGAUACCGCCCUAGUUCUGACCGUAAACUAUGCCAUCUAGCGAUUCGAUGGGACAUCUUUGUCUCGUCGAGGAGCUUCCCGGAAACGAAAGUCUUUCGGUUCCUGGGGUAGUAUGGUUGCAAAGCUGAAACUUAAAGAAAUUGACGGAAGGGCACCACCAGGAGUGGAGCCUGCGGCUUAAUUUGACCCAACACGGGAAAACUCACCCGGCCCGGACACCGUUAGGAUUGACAGAUUGAAAGCUCUUUCUCGAUUUGGUGGUUGGUGGUGCAUGGCCGUUCUUAGUUGGUGGAGCGAUUUGUCUGGUUUAUUCCGAUAACGAGCGAGACUCUAGCCUACUAAAUAGUUUCUGGAUUUUUUGGUCCAGUUAACUUCUUAGAGGGAUAAGCGGUGUUUAACCGCACGAGAUUGAGCGAUAACAGGUCUGUGAUGCCCUUAGAUGUCCGGGGCUGCACGCGCGCUACACUGGAAGAAUCAGCUGGUAUUCCAUUGCCGAAAGGUAUUGGUAAACCGUUGAAACUCUUCCGUGACCGGGAUAGGGAAUUGUAAUUAUUUCCCUUGAACGAGGAAUUCCUAGUAAGUGUGAGUCAUCAGCUCACGUUGAUUACGUCCCUGCCCUUUGUACACACCGCCCGUCGCUGUCCGGGACUGAGCUGUUUCGAGAAGAGUGAGGACUGCUGCAGCGAGGCUUCGGCUUUACUGUGAUGGAAAUCACUUUA